rnacentral:lncRNA from 1 species
UUGAGGGUUGGCUACUCUGCUCUAUAUCUGUUUAUUAGAUAAUACACAGACUCCUUUGGAUGCAAAUUGCUACAUACACAAAUUCCUCUUCCCUUGAGAAAAUAAUUGUGGCAAUUGAAAUGUAGCUGGUCCUCUAUACAACAAUGAUCCCAAUGCAACAAAAACUUUGAGCAGGUUGGAGGGUAUACAAAAAACUUGAAGGGGAUCUUACAGCAAGAGGAACACAUGAAAACAGUUAAAGUACGCCGUCAUUGCUGCAGCUGCUUCCUUCCCCAAUAUGGCCAUGUUUGACUU